CCCAUUCAUGCUAAGUACUGAAAUUGUUGAAGGUAUAACAUACUGAUUGAAAUGGAGCUUAGUUAGUUUGUUUGAAAAAUCCAAAUAUAACAAGAACACGAUUACUGCAGAACCAGUGAUAAGGAAGAAGAGUACUGGAAACAAGAUUCAUGAAGGAGAGAGGAGAUACAAUAUUUGAAAAAUACAGACUGGGAACACUUUUCGUGUCAUCUGGAAACAUUACAUCGUGAAUGGCGUUGACAAGGCCCUUUACUGGAUGGGAUAGGACAUUUAACAUUUUUGUCUGGAGUGCCCGGGUAACCUGCAGACCCAGUGACUCCAGGAACCCCCGAAGACCCCUUCUCUCCUUUAGGCCCUGGGCAUGGAAAUGGAAUAACCAUCUGUGUGAUUAAUCUUCGCCUGCUGGUCCUGGAAAACCUGGAGCUCCUCGAUCACCUGGAAAACCUGGAUCACCCAAAGAC